rnacentral:lncRNA from 1 species
UUCAGAUGUUGCUUUAUAUUAGUUACCAUAAAAAUGAUAGCUGAAAUUAUGUGAAGAAAUGAGUGUAGUGACAGAAAAGGAUUAGAAAAUGUCUUCUGUAUAUUUAGUGUUCUUUCCCCCAAGUCUUGAGGCACACCCACAGUUACAUAUUUUACAUCAUAGGAAAUCUGAAGGAGUAAGAGGAUUAACAAGAAUUCGGCAAAAGUAGGAAAAGAGUGGUAAUGCCAAAAAUCUCAAGAUGAGAGGGUUUCUACAGGUGAGGAUAAUUAUAGGUGCCAGUUCUCCAGAAGAAUGACAAUGGGCAGGAUUAAAAAUAGGUUGUGGAAUUGGGCUGGAUGAUGACUAUUGGUGACCUUUUAUCAAAAAGCUGGUAACCCCCACAAGAAUUAAGUUACACUAUCCAAAUGUUUUUCAGAUUUACUUGAACCCCUAACUUGUAGUUUUCUGCUACUUUUGCUACCAUGUACGCACACACAAAGUCAAAAGCACUGAAUUCAUGUGUAGGCAUUCCAGCCAUUCUAUGUUCAGCUCUAC